rnacentral:rRNA from 1 species
GGGCCCGCACAAGCAGUGGAGCAUGUGGUUUAAUUCGAUGCAACGCGAAGAACCUUACCAGGGUUUGACAUCCUGCGAAUCUCUUGGAAACGAGAGAGUGCCUUCGGGAACGCAGUGACAGGUGCUGCAUGGUUGUCGUCAGCUCGUGCUGUGAAGUGUCGGGUUAAGUCCUAUAACGAGCGCAACCCCUGCCGUUAGUUGCCAGCAUGUAAUGAUGGGAACUCUAACGGGACUGCCGGUGCAAACGCGAGGAAGGUGGGGGAUGACGUCAAAUCAUCACGGCCCUUACGGUCCUGGGCUACACACGUGCUACAAUGGCCGGUACAGAGGGCAGCCACACCGCAAGGUGGAG